GAUAAGUAAAAGAUUAGAACUAAAGAUGAAAAUUACUUCAAUUAUUCUUAAAGGUUUUUUGCUAGUGAUCAUGCUGUAUUAUUUUGCCAUUGAUUCUGAAGCAGGAGCUUGUUCAAAUAUCUGUGAUAAACUUUGUCCUGCAACGAAAUUUUGCAACAAAAUCUGCCCUCUUCUAUGUGCACCUCCAGCUUCAUAACGUAUCAGUGUCCAAUUUAGACCCAAAAUAAUGCGUAACAUGGCAUUAACAAUAUUAAAAAAAAGGAAAAUCAGAUGAAUAAUUUGGAAUAUUGUGGUCGAUCUGUUUAAAUAUUGAGGGGACUUUACUGUCGAAUAUACUAUUAUGGAUAAUGAAAUAAUGCAAAAAUUAUCUUAUGUAUAAUGAAAAAUUAACGUACUG